UUCCCUUUACCACGUGUAUUAUUACUCCAACGGAAUGGGUGAGAGAGUAUCUCUUUAGCAUCCCCUUGGGAGAUGCUGGGCCACGGUCCCUCCCCUUGCACUCCCCUAAUUCCUCCCCCACCAUCCCCUCUUCUUCCCGGGCAUCUUGCGGGCUCUCUGAUUGCUCUUCAUCUCCAAAGAAGCAGGCAGGCGAUCCACUCUGCGGAGGAGGAAGAAUGGGCAGCGUGCGCAGCGACCAUGUUGGGCUGUCAGAGGGAGCCAGUCAGCCACCUCCCUUGUCUCUCCGCGCCUUCCCCUCUCCAGCUGGCUUUCCUCUCUGCCCCCUGCACCACCACCACCUCCUUCCUCUCCUUCCUCUCGCCCAAAGAGCAGCAAGCAG